rnacentral:rRNA from 1 species
GAACGAACGCUGGCGGCGUGGAUAAGACAUGCAAGUCGAGCGGGAUAUCCAGGGUAGCAAUAUUCUGGAUGUUCAGCGGCGAAAGGGUGCGUAACGCGUGGGUAAUUUGCCGUAGAGUUGGGGAUAACUCGCUGAAAGGCGAGCUAAUACCGGAUGUGAUCAGCCUUUGGCAUCAAUGGGCUGAUUAAAGUUGGGGACUGUUAAAGGCCUGACGCUCUAUGAUAAGCCCGCGACCUAUCAGCUAGUUGGUGGAGGUAACGGCUCACCAAGGCUAAGACGGGUAGCUGGUCUGAGAGGACGACCAGCCACACUGGAACUGAGAGACGGUCCAGACACCUACGGGUGGCAGCAGUCGAGAAUUUUUCUCAAUGGGGGAAACCCUGAAGGAGCGACGCCGCGUGGGGGAUGAAGGGCUUCGGCCUGUAAACCCCUGUCAUCUGCGAACAAACCUUUCUGGUAAAUAACCAGAGAGCUGAUUGUAGUGGAAGAGGAAGGGACGGCUAACUCUGUGCCAGCAGCCGCGGUAAUACAGAGGUCCCGAGCGUUGUUCGGAUUCACUGGGCGUAAAGGGUGCGUAGGCGGUGGGGUAAGUUUGAUGUGAAAUCUCCAGGCUCAACCUGGAAAUGGCAUUGAAGACUGCUCUGCUAGAGGCUUGGAGGGGGGACUGGAAUACUUGGUGUAGCAGUGAAAUGCGUAGAUAUCAAGUGGAACACCAGUGGCGAAGGCGAGUCCCUGGACAAGACCUGACGCUGAGGCACGAAAGCUAGGGGAGCAAACAGGAUUAGAUACCCUGGUAGUCCUAGCCGUAAACGGUGCUGGCUUGCUGUGAAAGGAAUCGACCCCUUUUGUGGCGCAGCUAACGCGAUAAGCCAGCCGCCUGGGAAGUACGGUCGCAAGAUUAAAACUCAAAGAAAUUGACGGGGGCCUGCACAAGCGGUGGAGUAUGUGGCUUAAUUCGAUGCAACGCGAAGAACCUUACCUGGCCUUGACAUGCACGUGGUAGAAGUCUGAAAGGAUGACGACCCCGCAAGGGGAGCGUGCACAGGUGCUGCAUGGCUGUCGUCAGCUCGUGUCGUGAGAUGUUGGGUUAAGUCCCGCAACGAGCGCAACCCCUGUGUCCUGUUGCCACCCGGUCGAGAGACUGGAGCACUCUGGACAGACUGCCUCGCUUCAACGGGGAGGAAGGUGGGGAUGACGUCAAGUCAGGAUGGCCCUUACGGCCAGGGCUGCACACGUACUACAAUGCCCGGCACAGAGGGAAGCGAUACCGCUAGGUGGAGCAAAUCUCUAGAAA